GCUCUCAUAGCCCAGUUGGUUAGAGCACCCACUUAGUAAGUGGAGGUCUUGAGUUCGACUCAACGAGAGCA
rnacentral:tRNA from 1 species